CUCUCUUCUGCAAAUCUGACAAGUUGGCAUCCGAGCAAAAUUUAAAUGAUCAGCUUAAGUAUCAGUUUCUUUUGUAAAUGGAACAAAAUCACAGAAGAUGAGUAGUGACUCAGCAAAGACGCAAUAUUGUCUUAUUAAGGAUAAUUUUUCUUGAUUCACAAUCUUCCACAAUUAGCAUGACCUACUUAGGAAAAUUCUUGCAAGAUGGUUGUAAACAUGUACUGAGGGCAGGUUUAUUUGCCUCAAAUUAUAUAUAUAAAAUUCUUCAGUCUUGUGUCAAACAGUGGUUUUAUACCUUUCCCUGUAGGUAGGGUCACAUGACUGCCAGUGCAGACCAAGCCACAGUCAAAUGUCUAAAACUAAUCUUGCCCCUUGGGCAAAAGAACUUGAAGAAUACAAAUCCGUAAUCAAAGGCCCCGUGAAUUGGCAACCUGAUUUACCCUUUGUUUUGCUGUCAGUGAUCUCUUUCCUAGAAAAUGAGAUUCUCCUCCGAAGCCCAGAUUAAAGACUAGUGCCCUCCAGAAGAUCUCGAGAUACUGCCUCUCUAGCUGAUUGUUCUCUCCUUCUGGGUUCCCACUGCUAUGUGCUCCUUCCUGCCCCAAACGCUAUGUGCAGUUUGAACAUCUUCCAAUUGCCCAUUGCCAAGAUUUUAAAAUCAUAUUAUAACUACUGAAAUUAGCAGUUAUAGGUAGCUUAUUUAUGUAUUCAUGCAUUCAUGUAUUAAUUCAUUCAUCUAUCAAUCUAUCCAUCUACUCAUAAAUUAAUUCAUGUACUCACCAAUUCAUUUAUCAAACAUUUAAAAUACAUCUGUAUGCCAGGAAUUGUGUUGGGACAUUGGAGAGCAUGAACUUGUUGACAGAUCAAAAAAAGUCUAGGAAGACCACAUCUUAAAUGUUUUCAAAGAUAGUAGCACCAUUAAGAAAAACAGACAAGAGGAGAAAUUGAUUUUAAAAAAAUAAUAAAAUCCAUUUGUAAUAUGAAGAGUUUAAAGUACCUCUAGAUUCUUAUUACUCAAAAUAUUGCUCGUGGACUAGGAGUACUGGCCUAAAUUGGGAGGGUUUAAAAUGCACACUCUAAAACCUUCCUCUCUUGACCUACUUAACCUAAAUCUGCAUUUCAAGAAUAUUCCCAGGUAAUUUUUAUGUACUUGAACGUUUCAGAGGGACUGUUUUUCC
rnacentral:lncRNA from 1 species